UACGUAGGGUGCAAGCGUUGUCCGGAAUUAUUGGGCGUAAAGAGCUCGUAGGCGGUUCGUCGCGUCGGCUGUGAAAACCCGAGGCUCAACCUCGGGCCUGCAGUGGGUACGGGCAGACUAGAGUGCGGUAGGGGAGAUUGGAAUUCCUGGUGUAGCGGUGGAAUGCGCAGAUAUCAGGAGGAACACCAAUGGCGAAGGCAGAUCUCUGGGCCGUAACUGACGCUGAGGAGCGAAAGCAUGGGGAGCGAACAGG
rnacentral:rRNA from 1 species